rnacentral:rRNA from 1 species
AGUCCUGGCUUAGGAUGAACGACUAGCUACAGGCUUAACACGUGCAAGUCGAGGGGCAGCAUGUUGGUUGCUUGCAACCAAUGAUGGCGACCGGCGCACGGGUGAGUAACGCGUAUCCAACCUUCCCCUUAGUAGAGGAUAGCCCGGCGAAAGUCGGAUUAAUACUCUAUGUUCUUCAAUGCGGGCAUCUAAGUUGAAGCAAAGAUUUAUCGCUAAGGGAUGGGGAUGCGUCUGAUUAGGUUGCAGGCGGGGUAACGGCCCACCUGGCCUACGAUCAGUAGGGGUUCUGAGAGGAAGGUCCCCCACACUGGUACUGAGACACGGACCAGACUCCUACGGGAGGCAGCAGUGAGGAAUAUUGGUCAAUGGGCGCGAGCCUGAACCAGCCAAGUAGCGUGCAAGGACGACUGCCCUAUGGGUUGUAAACUGCUUUUAUCAGGGAAUAAAGUGAGGCACGCGUGCCUUUUUGUAUGUACCUGAUGAAUAAGGACCGGCUAAUUCCGUGCCAGCCGCCGC